AAAUGAAUAGACGGGGACCCGCACAAGUGGUGGAGCGUGUUCUUUAAUUCGACGAUAAGCGAAGAACCUUACCAGGACUUGACAUCCUGCUAAUCUUUCCGAAAGGAGAGAGUGCCUUCGGGCCGCAGUGACAGGUGUUGCAUGGCCGUCGUCAGCUCGUGUCGUGAGAUGUUUGGUUAAGUCCAUUAACGAGCGCAACCCUUAUGAUUAGUUGGAUUUUUCUAAUCAGACUGCCUCGGUAACGGGGAGGAAGGAGGGGAUGAUGUCAGGUCAUUAUUGCCCUUACGUCCUGGGCUAGAAACGCGCUACAAUGGCCGGUACAAAGGGCUGCCAACCCGCGAGGGGGAGCAAAUCCCAUCAAAACCGGUCCCAGUUCGGAUUGCAGGCUGAAACUCGCCUGCAUGAAGUCGGAAUCACUAGUAAUCGUAGGUCAGCACACUACGGUGAAUACGUUCCCGGGUCUUGUACACACCGCCCGU
rnacentral:rRNA from 1 species